rnacentral:lncRNA from 1 species
GCUCGAUUUUGAUCUCCAUGUUUUUUUCUGUCCAGAAAAUCUAUAUCCCUUCCACUAAAAUGGUAUGCCAUUGGACAGUGCUGGCGCUAUGAACGAAUGACCAGGGGACGCCGUCGUGAACACUACCAGUGGAACAUGGAUAUUAUUGGCGUACCUGAUGUUGCAGUAUGUUGACUCUACAUUGCUUGAGACCUGUUCUGUGUUUACCUUCAUUACAUGCUAACGAUCUUUGUGCUUGUUUGAGCCCAUUCUUUGGAAAAAAAUGCAUUCUUAAACAGUGUUUUGAUAUCAUUUCAACUACAUAUUCUUUAAUAAAAUAAUAUUACACGCAAAUCAAAAUUUUUUUCUUAUUAUUUAACUACACAUUUCAGAUCAAUACACUAUUCAAAAAUGCAUUUCAAACGCGUCUGUAUAGUAACAAUCACUGAUUUCUGUUUCUUUUAUAUUUUUCCCAAAGAACAGCUUAGUUACUCAAACCUGGAUUUUCGUUUAAUCUAUGAUUCGGAUAGAAUCAUAGGGUGAAGGAGAGGGGGGGGGGGUGGGGGGGUGGUGGGCUUAUAAUUAAAUCUGAUACUAUACUUUUAUAGAUUAUUGUAACAUAAAUUGAGACAUAUGUUGACCUGACCAUGAGCUUUAAAGUUGAGUUGAUGUUGAGCUCUAUUUGAUUCCGCUGGAUUUAAGAUCAAGAGAUUCCAAAAUAGUAGUUGUCAAGAUUCUAGACCGAGAAGCAGUUCUCUUUUCAAUUUCCUUCCUCGUGCAAAGCAAGACUUACUGAGCCGAAUUUUCCAAUUCCAAGUUCCAUCUGCUUCCUCCUGUUUCCCAUUUGUCUUCCAGUAACAAGCAUGAUGUUAAUUUCCCUCUCUGUGCUGUACUCUAAUGUGGUUUAGUAGAACUCCUUACACGUUUGGCAUGACUUUUCCUUUUGCUCUAUUUGAUAAAAUUUUGAUUCGUAGACUGGAAAUUCAGUAGCCAUGUCUUUGAUUAAUACCACUUUUUCCUUCCUUUUAAGGGUGAAGGUGGGGGUGUUUGCCGGGGAUAAUUUUGUGGAAAUGGCUGGUGAGCUACCAUAUUUUGCUUAGGGAUGGGGAACAACAUACUCCCCUAGUUAUCAAAAGCAAAGAAAAGUAUGCCACAUGGUUUAAAAAGGUAGUUGUCAAGGUGCGCCUCAAAUUCUGGCGUAAGGUUUGUGCCUCAAGGCGCAAGUUUUUAUGCUACUAUAUUGAGGCACACACCUUAGAUUAAUGAGCACAUGCCUCAAGGCGCAUGAGGCAUGUGCCUCCAUAUUAUUGUUAAAAGUAAAAGAAACAUCAGAUCCUAAGUGGACCCAACAAUUACGUUAACUUGUUUAUCCUAAACUAAUUUAAUAUUACAUCACUCACUAGACAAACAAAAACAAAAAGCUUUUGCAUCCUGCUCCAGGCGUCUACCCGAACAGAAACUACCUUUCUGACAAUAAUCUGGCAGCCAUCCAAGUGUACAAAUUCUUUCAGUUUGCACAUAUUUUAUUUUUGAAAUUCUUCUCUUUGCUUUUAUUUAGAUAACAAUUUACCAACUGCAAUUUUUCUUUGACCUUGGCAUCCUCGGGAACUUCUGAACUUUUUUCAACUACAAUGGGAUUAUUGAUUAUUUUCUACCUAAUUAAUUUAUUUGAUGUUUGUUUUAUUGAGAAUUUUGAAAAUUGUUUAUGAUUAAUUUUUUAUUUUUUAAUUAUUUUUUUAAAUCUUUCGACUGAAUUUUUUGGUUUUCUGCAUUUUGGUUUUGUGUGGGGUUUGGAUUUUUAAUUUGUAUUAUUUGAUUUUUUUUAUUUUUUAUUAUUAUUUCUUUUUUUGGGUAUGGUGAGGCUUACACCUCAAACAGCUUCGAGGCUUGCAUGUUGGUUCACGAAGAAAAACACAUUGAAUAUGGUAUGAGGUUGCAUAAGUUUUGGAUCUGACAUGUGGAUCUUAUAACGCAUAGACAUACCCUUUGGGCUGAUAUGGAUUAUCAUUUUACAGUUUCUGAUGUACUUAAAAUGAGCAAGUUUAAAUUUAUUUUUCACGAACAAAAACACAUUGAAUAUAGUAUGAGGUUGCAUAAGUUUUGGAUCCGACAUGUGGAUCUUAUAAUGCAUAGACAUACCCUUUGGGCUGAUAUGGAUUAUCAUUUUACAGUUUCGGUUGUACUUAAAAUGAGUAAGUUUAAAUUUAUUUGUAUAACUGAAGCCAUUUUCUUUGUUCACAUUGCCAUAAAUCCUAAAUAUUGCUACUGCUAAAUUUCCAUUAAUGACACGAGAUACCUGAAAUUUUUCACAUUUUGUUUUGAACAAUUGUGCUGUCAGAUUUACCUUGUUAAGCAUUACUUCUUUUCUGUGAUUCAUAGGCUGAAGCAGAGCUGAUUUCUUCAAUUGUCACCUUUUUCAAACGCAUUGGGAUCACUGCAUCAGAUGUUGGAUUUAAAGUGUCUAGCCGAAAGGUGUGAAAGUCAGACACAUUUUCAUUUUCUAAAUGCAUUUUUUAAAUUAAUAUCACCUUCUUGGAAUGUGUUUGCCUUUUGUUUAUAAAGUACUAAGGCCUAUGGAGAGUCCAUUUUGUUGAACACUACAUGUUUUCUGACUUGUGCAUUUCAGGGCAAAUCAUUAGCUUGUAUUCAUGUUUUUAGGCACUCUGGAAAUUGAUCUAGAGAUCCUUAAUAUGCGCUUGUUUUCAAUAUCAGUAUGAUUUCAACAAUCCCCAUGAUAUAUUCUCUUUUGCUUCACCUCAACUUCCGGUUCACAUAUGAAGUUCAUUCAAAAUCUUUCCACUUCAUAUGAUCACUUGUUGUUUUUUUAUUGAGCAGUACUAUGCAUACUUCUGCUAUCUGGAGAAUUGACAAGUCAUCUUCUUUUGUCACAGGUUUUGCAAGAAGUUUUGAGACGCUACUCUGUUCCAGAAAGUUUGUUUGGCAGGGUUUGCAUAAUUAUAGACAAGGUUAGCUUUAUGAUUCAACAUUGAAUAUGUUUUCUCCUCAUCUUCCUGAGGCAAGGUCUGUCACAUUAUCAUAAAUUUGGACUCGACUAGCCAAAGAGUUGAGGGGGGGAAAUAAAAGAAACCGACAUGGUGAUCUCAAAUUACUUCUCUUCCUAUAUUCUAUCCUAUUUUCUUUAUCAGAUCCGGUGUCGUGAACGUAACAUGCCAUCAUUAGAUAUGUUUUUCCCGCAUUCACAAAGGCAAAACUUGAAAAAGGCACAGAGCUUUAUGACCGUUGUUGGUAUGAGAGUUCCCUGUGUAUCAAAUUGAAAGUCGGUUUUCCUUUUCAAUGCUUGGAGAAACUUAAAAGCCAUCUAUGAAUUCCGCUCGAUGGAAAAAUGAGUUACCAUAGGAUAGUUCAGGAAAGACUUCUCUGGCAGCAUUUCAUAUGAGUGGAAGUUAAUUUAUUAAUGCCUAUUCAUUACUGUAAUUCCUCUCUCUCUCUCUCUUUUAUUGGGGGAUUUUGGUGCUUGGGUGAUUUGAAAUAUACAUUAUCUGAGGGGGCAGCAUGCACUGUAAUUUACUUCAUAAAUACGCAGAAGGAUAUGGAGACCUUUGUCCCAGGAAUUGUAACCCUUUUAUAUUUCUCGUCAUCUUUUCAACGGGGUAGCAAUGAUAUAUGUCAAUGGGAUUCAGCAAAGGCGUGAUGAGUCAAAUUUACUGUAAGCUAUAUAAAUGUAUCAGUUAUUGAUCUGUUUUAAGUUGUACAGCUUUAUUGAUUUACCAUUAGUACGCUCAAUUUGAGAAACUGAAUAUGGGUGCUUUGCUGUUCAUGCCUCUCUCACAGACGCGUUGUAAAGUUUUUCUAAUUGUUUUGUAUAGUUUGCAUUACUGUUCUGCUAUUUUUUAUUUAAUCAUUUCUCUCCUUUUUUUCCCAACAGAUGGAAAAGAUUCCAAUAGAUGAAAUCAAGAAAGAAUUGAAGUCUGCUGAGUUAUCAGAGGAGGCUAUUGAUGAGCUUUUGGAAAUUCUUUCUAUGAAGUCUUUGGCGAUGUUGGAAGGUUGGUCUUACUGUUUCUCAAGUUAUAACUUCAUUUUCAUCAUUUUUCUUUUCAGUUUUGGAAGUUUGGGACCGUGGAAUCAAUUUUGCCUAUCUUUUUCCUUAAUUUUCUGUGUCUAUUUCUGUCUCUGGCAUGUGAAUUAGGAUCUCGCAUGCAAAGUCAACACCACUAAUAGGGCCGGGCCACCAGGCUAGUGCCAGAAUUUGUCUUAACUAUUUUAGAAUUAAGCAACAUGCUCCUUAAAUGAAAAUUUGGAGACCUUAAGACUAGAAAAAUUGAUUGGGGAAUGCAACUGCAAAUUGUCAUAAUGUUAAAUUGCUUCAUAUUCUUCUGUCAUGUGUUUAAUAGUUACUUGAGGCCAGUUGAGAAAAGGUUAUGUCAGCAAGAGUGUUAAUUUUGAAUCAAUUAUUAUUUAUUAUCUUGUUAUAUUAACAAUUGUGGUGCGUUUUGCUUUUGUUGUAGAGAAACUUGGGGAUUCCGUGGAAGCACUUGCUGACUUAAAGCAACUAUUUUUGCUUGCUGAAAAGUAUGGUUACUCUGAGUGGAUUCAGUUUGAUGCAUCCAUUGUCCGUGGCCUUGCUUAUUAUACUGGAAUCGUAUUUGAGGUAAAAUUUAUAAAGCAUUUUUCCCCAUUUUCUUUCUGAACCUUAAGGGUCCCAUGUCGUCGGCUGGUUUCUUAAUUGUGUGAUUCAAAUAUAAUUGUGUAAUCAAUUAGUCAGCAAGAUUCAUAAAAUCUCUUUUUCGUUUAUUGUCGCUGUUGAUGACCUGAUACAGAAAGUGUACAAACUACAAUUAGAGCAGUUCCAAUGCUCAUGGAUUGCAAUCUAGGUGAUAUCUAAAUAGAAAGUCUUCCAGUCUAUUUGGCAUUAAUGUCUAAUGAAUAGACGGCCUAGUCAUCUAUUAUGUAUAUAUUUAAUAGGGUAGAGAGAGAAUAAUAAAAAGGAUGGAAAAUAUAAGAUGAGAUUUGUUGGGGCGGGGGGGCGGGGGGGAGGGGGGAUUGAAUUAUGGUGACUUACUCUAUCUCUACUUUUCUCUUGCUACGUCAACUAGACAUAGUCAGAGACAUGCUGUAUUAGAGAGGAACUUCUAUAUACAUUUACUUUCUGUAGAAAAGAAAAGAACCAUGCCCUACCUAACCAGAACUGGUCGGUCCUGAUCUGGUUCAGUUCCAUCGCUAGCCAUAGAACUGUUUGGUUCCCGAUUUGGUCUGGUACCAGUCACCAGACUAUGCGCACUCCUAGCCUACACUUAUGAAUUAACUAAGAAAUUGGAUAAUAAAUUUAUCAGGAUAGCAUUUUCACUCAACCUGUUUCUGGCUGGCUACAAUCAUUCUCAUAUGAGUAGGUUAUUCUCUAUCUCAUUAUCUUAUUGUAUUUCCUUCUUCAGGGAUUUGAUCGAGAAGGAAAACUACGAGCCAUUUGUGGAGGUGGGCGAUAUGACAGGUUACUUUCGACUUUUGGAGGCGAUGAUAUUCCAGCCUGUGGCUUUGGAUUUGGUGAUGCAGUUAUAGUAGAAGUGAGUCGAGUUUCUCUUAAAUUUUUGGCUUGGGUGUUUGCUUAAAAGUUCUUCCUUUUUCUUUUCUUUUUUUUUUUUAAAUUGAAAAAUAAGGAGUGAUUACUUUUACGUACUGAACAUGGUGAAUGCUGAAAUUUUUUCUGCCAAACUGUUUGGUUAGGCACUAAAUUUUAUCAAAUAUUUGAUGAUAAAAUUGAAUGAGUUGGAAGUGAGCCAAAUCGGGAAAUAUAUACAUAAUUUACUUGCUUAUAUUUUUUAUCAAUUGUGAAUAAUGUAUAUUAUGUAAACAGUUGUCAAUCAUUUGGAGUUGAUAGAAUAAAUUAUAUUUUUUCCUAAAACUAAUUUGAGUUACUGAUCUACUCAGCUUGCUCUAUGCAGUAACAUUUUAUAUGUUCUCGUGAAUUUGAUAAUGUAUCACAUAAACAAUAAAUGUGUAUAUUGAUCCACACUGUUACUGCUACUCUAUGGAACGUUGCUUUAAUUCCAUCUGCCAAAAGCAAUAUUUUCAGAAUGCCAACCUAAGUGAAUGGAAGUGAUUUAACUGUGAUGAACUCCAGGAUCAUCAUAGUAUAUAAAUUCGAAUAUAACUGCUCCAACCAUGUUAGACAGUAAAUAUUCUUGUUCAAUUGUUUUUGCUACUUUACUCUGUUCGGUGAUUAUGCAGCUUCUCAAAGAGAGAGGACUUCUACCGGAACUUGGUCCCCAGGUAGAGAACAUUGUCUGCUCAUUGGAUCAGGAUCUCCAGGGUGCAGCUUCUGCAGUUGCUGCUAAACUCAGGGGAAAAGGACAAAGUGUUGACUUGGUUCUGGAAAAUAAACCCCUCAAAUGGUAUGAGAUUUGAGAUUUCAUGAUACCCGUAGAAAAGUUAAUUUUUUUAAAAAGUCACAAUAUCUUGUGUUCCGUAUCCUUUGUUUCUUGUACCAUACCAAAAUAUGAACAUUCACCACUUUUUUUUAACGGUUUAUAAUCUUCAGGGUGUUUAAAAGGGCAGCACGAAUAAAUGCUUGCAGGCUGAUAUUAGUGGGUAGCGCGGAGUGGCAAAAGGGCAUGGUUCGAGUCAAAAUUCUUUCGUCGGGCGAGCAAUAUGAGAUUAAAGUUAAUGAGCUAGAAUAGCAAGGUUAAAUUAUUAUGCACAUGCAUGUACCUUUUACAUUUAUCUUGGCAUAUAAGACCAAUUCCAUUUUUAUUAUUGGUUUCUAAAUUUUCAAUUUUUCAGAUCUUAUUGUAGCAUACGGGGAACUUCAUAUCUGUAACAACAUACCAUCUAGAAUUUGAAUAAAAAUUAAGUGUAUUGUUUGGUUCUGAGUUUAUCUUUUGGUUGAUUAAGUGGAGAGUAAUGUGAUAGUUUUAUUAUGCUGGAAA